AGAUGUUAUUACAAUCACAAUUUCGUAAAUACAACACAUCUUUACCACUCUGAUUUCAUACAUACAUGCAUGAAGGAGGAAAACAUGCCUCGACACACCAACGGGUUUCAUAAUGAGCGUGUUCUGCGCCGUACAACAGAAUGACAUUAUAAAAGCUCAGAAUAAGUGAAACUUCCAUAUUAUCAGUUUAUUUGACAGAAAACGUGUACCAACUACAAGACAGUUGUUGGUAUAAAAAGCUUGUAGCCACUAAUCAUGUUGUGAGCAAUUAAAUCAUGUAAACUCCAUGGCUCCACUAACAAGAUUGCAUAGCUUGCCUUCAAGGACAGAGAAGGUGGAAUUAAGCAAUAUAGGUGAUAAAAUGUUUUUUGAACACUUAAUUGAAAGUUUGCUCUUGAACUUAGUAGUUGACAAGAUAAUCUCCACCACAAGAUCCAUUUAAUAGCUGCUCUGGAGGAAUCUAUCAAUCUCAAUUUCUAAGCAAACAUGGACAAGAAGUCCUUACAACUCUUCUCUCCAAGAGUUAGAUGAGAACAUCGAUACCACUUUCAUGUCUGGAUGCUUAAUAAGAAGCAAUAUAGCUACUGUAUCUUAACUUAACAUAUGGACAGCUAGUGUGGCUCAUGAAAAGUUUAGCACCCUAUCUUAUCUUUGGAUGAGUGUGACAUUUUUUCCUUCUAUCCACCUACCAACACUUCUAAAGCACACAAUUUGGCCCGGCAGUAGAUGGAUUUUUCUUUUUGUUAUCGUGGACAGAGGCAGGUUAAUGGUUUCCUCCUACUUCCAAUCUUUAUACUAAGCUAAGCUAAUCAGCUGCUGGCUGUUGCUUCAUGUUUAGCAGACAAACAUGGGAGUGCUAUCAAUCUUCUCAUCUAACUCUCAGCUAGAAAGCAUAUUUCUCAAAAUGUGCUGCGUUGUGUCAAAUGCCACAUGUAUUUUAUACAGCCCGAUGUCAUGAGAAGAAUAGCCAACAACAUGGAGGACAGAACAUGUCUGGACAGACCAACGGGUUUCAUAAUGAAUGUGCCCUGCAGCAUUAAAAAACUGACACUAUAAAAGGUCAGAAUAAGUCAGGGAUGUCAUGAGAUUGUCAUUGGCUCGUUGUAACACUCAGAGGGAGACAGAAAAUGUGUUCGUGCUAUGUUUUCACACUACAAAACUGAGAGUGUAAAAGGUCACAUGACCAGAGUUUACCGUGGCACUGUGGGUCAGAGCCAACAUGGAUGCAGAGGAAAGACCCCAAAAUAACCAUUCUGCACGUGGUCGAAGAGGCGCACACGUUUUCACGGUGUCUGCUGAUGAACAGAGAGAGAGAGAGAUAAAAUAAAUCUUCUAAAGACAUCGGUGUGAUGCAUGGCCAUUAUUUCAUUGGACCAGUGUAGCUACAAUUACUAUUAAAAGUUCAGGUGUUCAUCUUU